GCGAACGCUGGCGGCAGGCCUAACACAUGCAAGUCGAACGGAUCCUUCGGGAUUAGUGGCGGACGGGUGAGUAACACGUGGGAACGUGCCCUUUGGCUCGGAACAACUCAGGGAAACUUGAGCUAAUACCGGAUGUGCCCUUCGGGGGAAAGAUUUAUCGCCAUUGGAGCGGCCCGCGUCUGAUUAGCUAGUUGGUGAGGUAACGGCCCACCAAGGCGACGAUCAGUAGCUGGUCUGAGAGGAUGAUCAGCCACACUGGGACUGAGACACGGCCCAGACCCCUACGGGAGGCAGCAGUGGGGAAUCUUGCGCAAUGGGCGAAAGCCUGACGCAGCCAUGCCGCGCGAAUGAUGAAGGUCUUAGGAUUGUAAAAUUCUCUCAGCGGGGACGAUAAUGACGGUACCCGCAGAAGAAGCUCCGGCUAACUUCGUG
rnacentral:rRNA from 1 species